rnacentral:rRNA from 1 species
AAUAGAUACCCAGGUAGUCCACGCCGUAAACGAUGUCGACUUGGAGGUUGUUCCCUUGAGGAGUGGCUUCCGGAGCUAACGCGUUAAGUCGACCGCCUGGGGAGUACGGCCGCAAGGUUAAAACUCAAAUGAAUUGACGGGGGCCCGCACAAGCGGUGGAGCAUGUGGUUUAAUUCGAUGCAACGCGAAGAACCUUACCUACUCUUGACAUCCAGAGAACUUAGCAGAGAUGCUUUGGUGCCUUCGGGAACUCUGAGACAGGUGCUGCAUGGCUGUCGUCAGCUCGUGUUGUGAAAUGUUGGGUUAAGUCCCGCAACGAGCGCAACCCUUAUCCUUUGUUGUCAGCGGUUCGGCCGGGAACUCAAAGGAGACUGCCAGUGAUAAACUGGAGGAAGGUGGGGAUGACGUCAAGUCAUCAUGGCCCUUACGAGUAGGGCUACACACGUGCUACAAUGGCGCAUACAAAGAGAAGCGACCUCGCGAGAGCAAGCGGACCUCAUAAAGUGCGUCGUAGUCCGGA